GCUCCGAGAAUUUGUGUUUCGAAGUAGAUUUUUUGUAUUUUACUCAAUUUUUAUUAUAUAUCUAUCAGUAUUUCGCAUUAUAUAACACAAUCAUAAUAUUCCUAAAAGACUCGCUCAGUAUUAAAAGCAGCGUAGGUGUCGUUUCAUUGGUUACUAAGUGUGCCAUUCGUACCAGCAGACAACCUCAUUAAAACCGUAGAAUUAUAGUCGUACAAUUGAGUUUUGGUAGCAUUUAGAGGUUGGUUUUUGCUAGAAAUUUACGUUUUAUAGUGGUAUUUUGUUACUUAGCUUUUGCCACGUUGGGUAAGCCCGAUGGCAAGAGGACACCAGAAACUGCAGUCUCAGGCAAAAGCCAACGAGAAUUGAGGAAGCUGCUAAAAUGAAAAGGCAGUAAGGUCACUGCUAACGAACAGAAAAAAGCUCCACAAAAAGCACUCGUCCACGUUUGUGUCGUUUGUAAGGCACAGAUGCCUGAUCCUAAAACGUACAAACAACACUUUGAAAACAAGCAUCCGAAAAAUGAUUUGCAUGAUAACCUACCUACUCGGUUAAUAUUUCGUACGCUUUGUUCGUGGGGUCAUUGACAUCGAAAUUCAAAAAUCUAUCCAUCUGUAUAGUGGCUUUGUACCAUUGAUUUUUUACGUAUACGUAAAAAAUCAAUGCUUUGUACAUUCGUGAAUGAUGUGAUCGAUCAAAAUUCUUCUUUUGAAUUGUUUGAAGAAAUUUAAUCGCGGUUCUUUUUAAUUCUGCAUGAUAACUAUACGCUGAUUGCUUACACCGUGUUGAAAUUCUCAUUUCCUUAUCAUUCGUUUAAUGAUCUGUUAUACAUAUGUUCGGUAUUGCUAAUUUCGUACUGUGGGUUGCAUAAGUUACCAUAACCAACUCUAUACGUAUUAUGCGUGUCAACGAAAUCCUCUGCGACUUACUGAUGCAUUAUUGUUCUUGAAGAAUAUUCAUUGGAAUUACGUCACAUGAGGUUGUAUCUAAUGUUGAAGAAAAUUAUGUGUCUUUUGAUGUAGAAAUGGUUCGACUCAGAUUUUUGAAAUCAUAUUUGAGAGAUGAGGAACAGUAUGGUAUCAUAAAAAUUGAAGUUGUUUUCAAAUUUUUCAUUUCAUUUUGAAAUUUUUGCGUAAAUAUGAUUAGAAUUAGGUGAGAUUAAUUUUGUUUGGUGGGUCUGUGUUUCUAACACGAAGUAAUUUUGUCUUCGAUUUGGUAGGUUUAUUUGCUGGCGAUAUCUCAGAGUCACGAUUUCUUUGAUCUCUUCUAGCUUUUGAUAAAGUUCCCUUAAAACUAAUAAAAAAAAAUUCGAUUGCUUUGUAAAAAAAAAUACAUAUAUUUAUUGUACAAUGAAGGAAAAAAAAACAUAAAUUAUUUUUACAACAUAUGAGCAUUUGUUUCACAAUUAAAUAAACGUUACAAAUACUUAAAACACACAUUUACCUACGUCAUUACAAUAAAAGAAAAAAAAAAGAAAAAAAAUAAUAAAUAAACCUACGUACAUCAUAUUCACUGUUGCAAAUGUGAUUAAUUUUUCUAUUUUCAAUAUCCAAUUUCGGAAUCAUGACUAGGAACGAGAACAUAAUAAUUUCGUUGACUUAUAUCGAUACAUCUAUCGAAAAUAAUUCCACUAGUUUAUCUUACAAGAUAAAUUCUAAAUUUAAUAUAAUACAAAAAUGUAGCGAUAUUUUUUUUUUAAAAAAAAGAAGUUUUUUUUUGUUUUGUUUUGGAACUCGCCUUAGUCAUCGUAUUUGAAAAUGAAAAAGUAACCACAUUAUACAUUGACGAGGAACAUAAUAAAUAAAUCACUUGUAAUUUUUCUUUCUCUUAUUCGACCAAGGUAUCGUCAUUAUCUACUCUACUAUUUCGUACUCCGGUUUUUCCGGUCCAAGGGUAAACGUCAGGACAUGGUUGGCACGUUUUCAAAUAUCGUACACCUGACUUAUGCCACAAAUUGCAGACUUUUGCGUUAUUGCAACGUCGAGGUCUAUCCUGUAAAUUUCAAGGAAAAUAAUUAUUAAUUAAUUACGAGCUCGAUUACCAAUGUCGAAUUAUAGUAUGUAGGUAUUUGGAGAAAUACAUACUGGGUAAUCACAGUUGAAAGGCGUAAAAUUGUUUAGUCUAGAAAUAGGCGUUGGGUCACGAGC